GGCUACGAGGACGAACGCUGGCGGCGUGCUUAACACAUGCAAGUCGAACGGUAAGGCCCUUCGGGGUACACGAGUGGCGAACGGGUGAGUAACACGUGGGUGAUCUGCCCUGCACUUCGGGAUAAGCCUGGGAAACUGGGUCUAAUACCGGAUAGGACCAUGGACUUCACGGUUUGUGGUGGAAAGCUUUUGCGGUGUGGGAUGGGCCCGCGGCCUAUCAGCUUGUUGGUGGGGUAAUGGCCUACCAAGGCGACGACGGGUAGCCGGCCUGAGAGGGUGUCCGGCCACACUGGGACUGAGAUACGGCCCAGACUCCUACGGGAGGCAGCAGUGGGGAAUAUUGCACAGUGGGCGCAAGCCUGAUGCAGCGACGCCGCGUGAGGGAUGACGGCCUUCGGGUUGUAAACCUCUUUCAAUAGGGACGAAGCGCAAGUGACGGUACCUAUAGAAGAAGCACCGGCCAACUACGUG
rnacentral:rRNA from 1 species